rnacentral:rRNA from 1 species
GGGGAAUCUUCCGCAAUGGAUGAAGGUCUGACGGAGCAACGCCGCGUGAGUGAUGACGGCCUUCGGGUUGUAAAGCUCUGUUAAUCGGGACGAAAGGCCUUCUUGCGAAUAGUUAGAAGGAUUGACGGUACCGGAAUAGAAAGCCACGGCUAACUACGUGCCAGCAGCCGCGGUAAUACGUAGGUGGCAAGCGUUGUCCGGAAUUAUUGGGCGUAAAGCGCGCGCAGGCGGAUUGGUCAGUCUGUCUUAAAAGUUCGGGGCUUAACCCCGUGAUGGGAUGGAAACUGCCAAUCUAGAGUAUCGGAGAGGAAAGUGGAAUUCCUAGUGUAGCGGUGAAAUGCGUAGAUAUUAGGAAGAACACCAGUGGCGAAGGCGACUUUCUGGACGAAAACUGACGCUGAGGCGCGAAAGCCAGGGGAGCGAACGGGAUUAGAUACCCCGGUAGUCCUGGCCGUAAACGAUGGGUACUAGGUGUAGGAGGUAUCGACCCCUUCUGUGCCAGAGUUAACGCAAUAAGUACCCCGCCUGGGGAGUACGACCGCAAGGUUG